UACGUAGGGGGCAAGCGUUGUCCGGAAUCAUUGGGCGUAAAGAGCGUGUAGGCGGCCAGAUAAGUCCGCUGUGAAAUCUCGAGGCUCAACUUCGAGCUGUCGGUGGAAACUGUCUGGCUAGAGUCCGGAAGAGGAGAAUGGAAUUCCUGGUGUAGCGGUGAAAUGCGCAGAUAUCAGGAAGAACACCUGUGGCGAAGGCGGUUCUCUGGGACGGUACUGACGCUGAGACGCGAAAGCGUGGGGAGCGAACAGG
rnacentral:rRNA from 1 species